rnacentral:ncRNA from 1 species
AUAAUAUGGUUUUAAGAUUUGCUUAAAUUAAAAGGGAAGCUGGUGAAAGUCCAGCACGAACCCGUCACUGUAACAUGGAGUGUAUUUAUAGGUAUGCCACUGUUGUUUUCAAUGGGAAGGUAUGAAUAUAUUAUGAAAUGAAGUCAGGAGACCUGCCAUAUUAUAUG